UGAACAGAAAUAGAGAUAAGUUUGCGUCACCAACUUGAGCUUUGAGCCUUGAGUUCUCAUCAUGUUGCCACCAUCCUUCAGCUAAAACUGAUUAGGGAACCAAGAAAUCUCACCAUCCUUCAGUGAAGAAGGAAGAUCGGUGAAGAGCCCGCAGUUCGGCUUUGCCUGAAAGAACCAAAAUUCGUCAUCCUUCCUUCGGGCAAGCUUAUGCGACUCGGCAAAGACUUUAGCCAUGGGCUCCAGUCUCUUGGCUCGGCAGAGGCCCCGGAAGGCUACUAAAGUCCACCAGGAGUUUGGAUGCACUUGAGCUACCGAGACA
rnacentral:misc_RNA from 1 species